rnacentral:lncRNA from 1 species
UGCAGAGACGUAAAAAUCAACAUAGAGAUUUUUUCGGCUGAAGCUUCAGAGGUUCGGCGACCACUUCUAAUGCCUAAUCCCCUAUUGAACAUCCAUUAAAAAUUGAUAAAGUUUGGUUGCACUAUAAAGCCAAAAAACUGGCUACAAGAAUAUACAAUAUUGUUCCAGAAAUUACAAAGACCAAGUACGAGACUUAUCUUUAAGAGAAAUCACAAUGCUGACCACUAUACACCAAGGAAUCAACCCCAGAUCACAUAAAUCUAUGAAAAACCCAGCACUGCUCUCAUCGAAUGACACAGAUUCAUACAAUACCAACAUCGAACAAUACCAACACUGAAAAACACACAACUACAAGUAUCUAUAGUAUGACAAAGGUUUUCACGAUAUUUAAGUACUGGAACACUCAGAUUUUUCAAUCCCAAUUCACGGAGAAGAAAGAGUUCUUCACAGAGAAGAGAGAACUCAACAGCUGGACCUUAAAGCCAGAAUAAACUCUCCAAAAUUCUGUCCAGUCAAAGAGUCACGCAAGAAUAUAUUUCUGGAAACAUCUAAAACCCAAUGAGCCGGCCAUCAAGACACCACAUGUCAAAAUCCAGAAGAAUGCCUCCACUAAGAAAGUUGUUAUUUCAAAACACGGCUUCAACAAAUUAUUUGGAAGAACAUUUAUAUUAAUGACAGGUCACGGGUUCAGGUCUC